rnacentral:rRNA from 1 species
GACGAACGCUGGCGGCGUGCUUAACACAUGCAAGUCGAACGGAAAGGCCCUUCGGGGUACUCGAGUGGCGAACGGGUGAGUAACACGUGGGUGAUCUGCCCUGCACUUUGGGAUAAGCCUGGGAAACUGGGUCUAAUACCGAAUAGGACCACGCGCUUCAUGGUGUGUGGUGGAAAGCUUUUGCGGUGUGGGAUGGGCCCGCGGCCUAUCAGCUUGUUGGUGGGGUAAUGGCCUACCAAGGCGACGACGGGUAGCCGGCCUGAGAGGGUGACCGGCCAAACUGGGACUGAGAUACGGCCCAGACUCCUACGGGAGGCAGCAGUGGGGAAUAUUGCUCAAUGGGCGCAAGCCUGAUGCAGCGACGCCGCGUGAGGGAUGACGGCCUUCGGGUUGUAAACCUCUUUCAAUAGGGACGAAGCGCAAGUGACGGUACCUAUAGAAGAAGCACCGGCCAACUACGUGCCAGCCGCCGCAGUAA